ACUUAAAUAGUUUAUCAUAAAAUUAUGAUUUGUGGUAUCAUGGAUAUAAUGAAUAGUUAUUUUAAGUU
rnacentral:tRNA from 1 species